rnacentral:tRNA from 1 species
GUCUUCGUAGUAUAUGAAUUACCCUGGUCUUGUAAACCAGAAAAGGAAAACACCACUUUCCCCAAGACU